CAGCCGCCGCGGUAAUACGAAGGGGGCUAACGUUGUUCGGAAUUACUGGGCGUAAAGCGCACGUAGGCGGACAUUUAAGUCAGGGGUGAAAUCCCGGGGCUCAACCCCGGAACUGCCUUUGAUACUGGGUGUCUAGAGUAUGGAAGAGGUGAGUGGAAUUCCGAGUGUAGAGGUGAAAUUCGUAGAUAUUCGGAGGAACACCAGUGGCGAAGGCGGCUCACUGGUCCAUUACUGACGCUGAGGUGCGAAAGCGUGGGGAGCAAACAGGAUUAGAGACCCCCGUAGUCCCUGUCUCUUAUAC
rnacentral:rRNA from 1 species